rnacentral:rRNA from 1 species
AUUGAACGCUGGCGGAAUGCUUUACACAUGCAAGUCGAACGGCAGCACGGACUUCGGCCUGGUGGCGAGUGGCGAACGGGUGAGUAAUGUAUCGGAACGUGCCCAGUCGUGGGGGAUAACGUAGUGAAAAUUACGCUAAUACCGCAUACGAUCUAUGGAUGAAAGCGGGGGAUCGCACGACCUCGCGCGAUUGGAGCGGCCGAUAUCAGAUUAGGUAGUUGGUGGGGUAAAGGCCCACCAAGCCAACGAUCUGUAGCUGGUCUGAGAGGACGACCAGCCACACUGGAACUGAGACACGGUCCAGACUCCUACGGGAGGCAGCAGUGGGGAAUUUUGGACAAUGGGCGAAAGCCUGAUCCAGCCAUUCCGCGUGCAGGAUGAAGGCCCUCGGGUUGUAAACUGCUUUUGUACAGAACGAAAAGGUUUCUACUAAUACUAGGAGCUCAUGACGGUACUGUAAGAAUAAGCACCGGCUAACUACGUGCCAGCCGCCGCUGUAA